AUUGAGAGUUUGAUCCUGGCUCAGAUUGAACGCUGGCGGCAUGCCUUACACAUGCAAGUCGAACGGUAACGGGUUAAGCUGACGAGUGGCGAACGGGUGAGUAAUAUAUCGGAACGUGCCCAGUAGUGGGGGAUAGCCCGGCGAAAGCCGGAUUAAUACCGCAUACGACCUACGGGUGAAAGCGGGGGAUCGCAAGACCUCGCGCUAUUGGAGCGGCCGAUAUCAGAUUAGGUAGUUGGUGAGGUAAAGGCUCACCAAGCCGACGAUCUGUAGCUGGUCUGAGAGGACGACCAGCCACACUGGGACUGAGACACGGCCCAGACUCCUACGGGAGGCAGCAGUGGGGAAUAUUGCGCAAUGGGCGGAAGCCUGACGCAGCGACGCCGCGUGGGGGAUGACGGCCUUCGGGUUGUAAACCUCUUUCAGCUUCGACGAAGCCGCAAGGUGACGGUAGGAGCAGAAGAAGCACCGGCCAACUACGUGCCAGCAGCCGCGGUAAU
rnacentral:rRNA from 1 species